GGUGAGGUGGCCGAGUGGUUAAGGCGCUGUGUUUAGGUCUCGUUCUGUAUAAGAAAAACCUGAAUCCCCGCAGUGGGAAACCGCGUGGGUUCGAAUCCCACCCUCAUCA